rnacentral:lncRNA from 1 species
ACGGAGGGUGGACUAUAUAAGAAUCAACGAAGCUGUCACUAUCGCGAACUACCACACGACUCGGCCAAUAGGAUACAUUUGCAGAUAAAUAACAUCUAAGCACCACGCUCACAUGUAAUCUAUCACCUAACUCCCUCGCGUCAAGAGCUAAGCGCUUUGCAAACUUAUACAUAAACUCAUUAUCAAUUAGAACUAUAUCAAAUAUAGAACUAGAGCAAACUAAGAACAUAAUAAUUAGAGACAUAAUGCAAUUAGAACAAUAGAAUUAGAGAAAGAUAUGAAUAAUAACAAUCUUUAUUACCGAAGAUCCGAAUCCAGAGCGUAGUGCUCUACUUCUCUAAUUGCUAUCUAAUCAACCUCUAAACUUGAAGGAUUAGGGAGUAGCUAAUUCUAAUUCUCUGUGGGAGAGAAGCUCUAAACCCUAACUUUGAUGGCUACCUCUGAAUAAUGAUUUCUCCUCUCUCCUCCAGGGGCCAGGGGGUCUGGUUUUAUAGUCCCCUCAAGUGAACGUGAGCCAUUGGAUCAAACCGACAUAGAUUGUAUGGUUUAGAUUGAUCCUUUAGGUCGGUGGAGUCUUGCCCCGAAACAGAGUCCUGAUCCAACUCCUGGCCAGGGCGGGCGCCCAAGGGGGGUGGGCGGGCGCCCUGCCCCCGAGCCCGAAUUGCUUUCCGUUCGUUCCCGUGGCUUCUGGAUCCUUCUAGAUUGAGGAAAAUUGCACGGCACGUAAUUAUCUCGUUGUAAACAUGACAUGUGGGCCUUCUCUCCAUAUUUUCUGAUAAACCCCUGCAGAAAUAGAUAAACACCAAAACUCGUGGAAUUCUAUGAGAUAAAACCCUAAUUCUAGAUGUUUGUUUCAUAUUGAUCCUUUUUCAUGUUUAUUUGAUUAUUAAUUUUAGUACUUAAGGACCGUCAACAAACUCCCCCAAGCUUACCCUUUGCUCGUCCCUGAGCAAACAGCUAAACUCAUACGGAUCAGGAGUUGCUUCGAUGUUUUCUUUCCUGACAGGCACACAUGCUUUUACAUAAAAAUUCUUCCAGAUUAGAGUGAAGUGUUAUGGAGUUUAGUACCUGCACUUAAAUCUUAAGUAAUCGAAAGACAAAAUAGUUAAGUCAAGCACUAUCCCUCUUGUCUAUACUUCACCUUUGUUCCAGAGUUUUUCAUAAGUUUUCAAAAAUAAAACUCAGAGUUCCCAGCAAUGAUUCUCUCAAGUCUCUCUAUAUGUGGUAUUUGUGGAUCCUUACCAUGAUAUCACUUACCUAUAGCUAAUGGAAUAUUUAAGUGGAGCUCAUAGGAGUGAAAAACAGCUCAUACAUAUGUUGUCUAAUCGAGCCAUGGAUCCAAAGAAACUCAGCAUAUAAUUAAAUUAAGAUGUGCAUGUGUGAUGGAGUAAAUGAUAGUGAUGGUGAAGAUAUAUAAAUAAAACUUAGUUCUCAUUGUUCCUUAUAUUGCUAUCUCUCCUCUUCUUUGAUCUUUGCUUUUGGAGAACAUGGGCUAUCUUCUCUCUUUUUUUUCAGGUGGGUAGUAGAUACCCCUAAUUCUACUGUCGGACACUUGUCCAUUUUUUCCGCUCAAGUGGGCAUCUUUGUACCCCUAAUUCUACUUUGGACACUUGUCCAUUUUUACCUAUCGUCUCACUCUUUUUCUUUCUUUUUCGAGGUUCCGGGCACUUGCCCCUUUUUAUUUCCUCGUAUAUUUUUGCAUAACCCAUGCCUCUUCUGCAUUGAAUCUUUUUUUAGAGAGAGAGAGACAAUAACAAUAUUCGGGACAGUGAGUGAAAAUAUUUUUAGCAAUCUUUAAUGAUUGAUGAUGAAUGCUGUGGUAGAUGUGUGCAAGUGAAUAUCUUAAUUUAACCACAUGAAAAGCUCCUAAGGGUCUACACAGCUCGAUCAAACUCAAUGUGAAUAUAGUAAAAGAUGUUAUAGCAAGUAUGGCUGUGGUAGGUAGUUUUGUUAUGCUAGGAACUCAUCAUGUGAUUUGUAAGUUUUCAAAAUAAGUCUCUAGAACUUAGUGUAGUAGGAACAAGAUAAACAGUAGCUCAACUUUAUAUCAUGCCUUUCUCUUACCUAGGCUUUAGUUUUUAUGCUUCCCAAAGAUAGUAAUUUUAGUUUUAGUAAUUCCUGGAAGAACUCUAAUAUAAAAGCUAGGUACUUGUAAGUAAGCAAACAGAGCAACUGUUCAUCAUUUCCAUCAUGCAUCUUUUUGGUUAUUUAUAUUUUUUUUUAGAUAAAUUAAAUAGUAAAACAGAAUAGAAUAAAUAAGAAGAGCAAAUAGAAACUUACUUGAUAAAUUUGGGAGGAACUCCCCCAAGCUGGAUAUUGACGUCGGUCUUACCCGAUGUUCCAUAACCGCAUCAUGGUUGUGAUGUUGUCGUUCAUUGUUGUUGUAUCUUGUCUUAGCUCUUCUACUGCAGCGGCAUGGUCCUGGUUCCAUUUUUGUUGCUCUUCCAGGAGUCUUCCAUGUUCUGCUUGCGUGUUCUGGAUGUCGAGGAGGGUGUUGUCGGUACGAGUGAAGAAAGCACCGGCCUCUUGAUAGUAGUCAUUCGUGAAAGCAUAGGAGGCGUCGGAGUAUCGUCCUGCAUCAAAUUGGGGUGGAGGUCUGGAUCCUGAAGCUCCAUAUGGAUCAGUGGAGUACCUGCCCGUAUGAAAAGGCGGGUUUGUCCACUGGUGAUCUUGGCUCUCCGGCCAUGUCUCCUCUGUUGGCUCUUGUGGUUGCGCAUGACGAGCCCAUGGGUCUCGAAGGACUCGAGGGUUGUAAUCGCAAUAAUGCAGGUGCACUGCUUCUUCUUGUCCAGGGUCAGCUCCAUACCAAGUGCGUUCUCGGUGAGUGGUUAUCCUUUCAGAUGCCACUCACUGUGGAGUCCUCUGGUUCACUGGUGUUGCUGCAAUCUCAAUCAAAAAGUUUUGAACAACGUAGAGGCCAAGGUUCGGGUUAGGUAACCGAAUCUUGCCUUUAUCAUCAUAUAACAUAUACAUUAUAUUCCCCUCUUUCUUUAACAUCUGAGCCUGUCUAAAUGUGUCAUAGCCAUGAUAAAUUCUUAACUCUUCUAUGAAGUCCAGUGACGAGUUUUCUAGUAAGUGAAGAUUAGAGGCUAGACGAGUGAUAAGUGAAGUACAUCCUACUGGUCCCUGAAGACUAGGUAUACUAAGCCAAUGUGAAACUAAUAGUGUAACAGGUGAAGUGGGUACUUUACUAAUAGCAGCAUAUAAAAGUUGUAAAUCUCCUACUCUUACUUUCCUAAUAUCAUCGCGAUAGAAAAGAUUGUACCCAAGCCAUUUGUGAAAUAUCCUAAGAGUGGGGUGUUCCAUGUCACUGGUUCGGGCUUGACUGUAAAAAUUAUCUCUAGAUAUUUCUCUCCAAAACUAGUGUCUCUCAAAAAUGGGUAAAUCGGAGUCAAUGUUCAGGAUGCAUCUUGAAGAGAAACCAAGAUGGUCGCUCAGCUCUUUCCAACAUAACAUAAGUUCCUGUUUGAACAUCCGAAAAACAAUUCCCCCUCAUAGUAUUGUAAAGUGCAAAGAAAUUCGAGGGUGAGAAGACGAGAACCCAGCUCAGUUAUAUUCCAAAAAUUUGUCCAACCCAUCAUCUGAAAAAUUAAGUCGAAUUCAGUGUCCAUACCUGUUUCUCGUAGUAGGAUUGGAUCGAGAGUAGGGGUAUGAAUGAAAUCUUUGUUCUUCAGUUGCUGAUAGACUUCCUUCUCUCUUCGGGUCUUCAGUCCAAGGUCUCCUAUCUUAAGAAGGACCUUGACUUGCUGACCUGAUGAAGAUGAUGGAGCUUGUGUGGGUGUCGAGUCGACGCUCACUUCUGAUGGCUGUGAGGAGUGUCGGGCGGAACUCCUUGUACCAAUGUUCUUGAGAGCCUUCCCUGCAUUCUUCACCUUCUUAAACAUCCUGCAAAAGUUGGCAAAAACACAACUGGUGGAAAAUGUGAGAUAAAAUGUUAGUGGUCAGCUGUCUGGAGUGUCAGCAGUCCAGGGGUUAAUCGUUCAAGACAAGUUUCUAUUUUGAUAGAGCCUCCCCCUGAACAACUUUUAUUUCUGCUUGGACAGCGGGAUCACUACUUGCUAGGUGAUAAAUACUCUCUCAAAAGAUCUCCAACCUUCUCUUCCACUCUCCUCUUUCUCUCUACUCUCUUCUCUUCACUACAAGAACUCCUUCUCGGGAAACUGAAACUUGUGUGGUUUUAUGGAGUGUUUGUGUGAAGAGAAGGGGAGCUGGAGGUGGCCUUUUAUAGGAGGAAGGAGGGACAGGGCGGGCGCCCUUGGUAGGUGGGCGGGCGCCCUCUUAUGAUGCCCAUCCUGGGUGUGCCUCCUCCACUUGCUUCCUUGCUUUGAUCUCACGCAGAAUAAUGUUGUGUUGGUAGUGGUUGGACGGUGGAAAGAUGUCAGGUGAGUGGAAACAUAUUGGUGGAUGAAAUUAUGUGAUGGGAUGUAUGUGAGGUGAAGUGUAUGACAUGUGGGACCCAAAGAGUGCGGGUCCUGCUUCUAGAAGAUCAAUAUAAAUAAAUAUAAUGCAGGAAAAUCUAUGAGAGUUGAAACUUAAUGAAAAUGAUAUUGGAAAAUAUUUUUGUGCCUCCACAAUAAUUAAUAAAUAUGGGUUGUUACACACCACGAAUUUUAUUUAUAUGGGGCUUUUGAUUAUUAUAAUAAUGCUAUGAAUAAAUGUGACUAAUGCAAGAUUUAAUUAUGCAAGAAUUAAAUAUGAGAAAAUUAAUAAUGCAGAUAAAUACCGAUUUACCUCCCGGUGAGGGUUCGGGAUUUUUAGGUCCCCCAAGCUGGACCUCCAAAUCUUUUAAUCUUCUGAGUUACCUUCCUCCGGAGAUGGUGUCUCCAGUGGUUCUUCAUGAACUUCCUUCACUGUAGAGUCCCUUUCUAGUCUGGGUUUGAAUGUGAAGUGUUCUUCUUGACCGUUUAUGUUGAACUUGAUUUCUCCCUUCCCGACAUCAAUGUGGGCAUUGGCAGUGCUCAGAAAUGGCCUUCCAAGGAUGAUGGACACUUUCGAGUCAGGACUCAUGUCCAGUACUACGAAGUCUACUGGCACAAGGAAAUCUCUGAUCUUGACUGGAAUGUUCUCGGCGAUGCCCAACGGGUGUCGAACCGAUUGAUCCGCUAGUUGUAGGCACAUUGAUGUUGGUUCUAAGGUUGCAUGCUCAAGUUUUUUGUAGACUGAUGCUGGCAUCACACUGACACUUGCUCCGAGAUCACAAAGUGCAUUGUUGAAGUGUUGGUUUCCGAUCGAGCAAUCAAUAGUGGGGCAUCCUGGAUCUUCCUUCUUCUUUGGUGGUUUGUUGAGGAUGGCCGCACUACAUUCUUCUGUCAGCUUGAUAACCUCAGUGGUGGGCAGUGGUCUCUUCUUGUUAAGAAUAUCUCUGAUGUACUUUGCAUAUGUAGGUACCUGUAUGGCAUCGAGCAGAGGUAUGUUGACAUAUAAUUUCUGAAUGACCUCUACAAACUUACCAAACUGCUCAUCCGACUGCAGUCCUCUGUUUCUUCUGGGAAAUGGCAAAUAGUUGGUGUCGUAAAAAUCUUUCCUCAUUUCUCCAGUUCUUGGUGGUUGGAGCAGAUCUUCUGCUUCAACUGGGCUUUCUUCUUCUAUCACUGCUGGUUGCACUGGUGCUGAUAUUCUUUGUUUCGCUUUUGGGUAUGGUGGAUCUCUGGUGGCUUUUCCUCCUCUAGUAGUUAUAUUCUUUACCUUUGCUAUUGGGUUGACUCGAAGUUGGUUGAUAUUUGUAUGCUGUCUCAAUGGCCCUGUGAUCUUCUUUGAACUUGGCCCUCUGGUCAAUCCAAUGGAGCAAAUUCUCCAUCUUAGUUGAUAAUGCUUUUACUUCUUCUGGUAUUUCUUCAGUUUGAUGACAUUGUUGAGCUUUAUCUUGGAACCAGCUUUGAUUUUCUGUUAUCUUAUCCAAAAGUAUCUCUGCUUUUCCAGUUGUAAGCUCCAAGAAUGAUCCUUUAGCAGAUGCAUCUAGGCACUCACGAGCCUUCUGGGUUAAUCCAUGGUAGAAGGUCUGCAUAAGUAACCAUGUGGCCAAUCCAUGGUGAGGACAAUCUGAUAUGUAUCCUUGAAAACGCUCCCAUGCUUCUGAAAUGGCUUCUGUCUUCUGCUGUUGGAAACUGACAAUAUUUCUUCUUAAGGCAGUUGUUUUACCUAUAGGGAAAAACUUUGAUAGAAAGGCAUCUGACAAGUUCGUCCAGUUGUUGAUGUCAUCUUGAUGAGUGUAGAACCACUUCCUCGCUUUUCCUUCUAGUGAGAAUGGAAAGAGGCGAAGUAGUAUGACGUCUUUGUCAACUCCGUUGAUGUGGAUUGUGCUUCCAAUCUCUAAGAAAUUCUGCAAGUGUGCACUGGCAUCUUCAUGUGCCUUUCCACUAAAUUGUGUAGCUUGUACCAAAUUGAUGAGGCUUGACUUGAGCUCAAACUCGGGUAUUCCUUCUUCUACUGCAAAUCUUGGACCAGUUGGAAUGUUGUCAAGACUUGGAGCAGAGAAUUCUUGCAAGGUUUUUUGUGCCAUAGCUUCAGCAAUUGGUAGCUAGCUUCUUCUUCUCUUGAUUGCUUUGGUUCUGAUGAUGAAGAGUUGAAUGUACCCAAAGUCAAUCCUGUUAUACCCUGUAUAAAAAUAUAAACAUAGAAAAACAACAGGGUGAACCUGCCAAAGCAGCGGUGCCUUGUUAUGAUUUCUCACUUAGUAGCUGUUUUCUGCAAUUAUUUCUCUAUAGUCUAGUCUAAUGUUUUGUGUGAAUAAUCCUUGAUUGAUUUUCUGGCUUUCCUUAAUAUUACUCUUUUGUUCCCUUUUAUGACUUAUUCCUGAGACUCGUAUAAAUCCUAUAAGUCCCCGGCAACGGCGCUAGAAAUGCUUGUUGACACUAGCUAACACCACUUAGAUACUAGGUUGUCAUCCCUAGCAUGGCGCCAGAGUGUACAAAGGUAUUUAUAAAUGUAAAGGCUCUCUAGAAAAUAAUCUAUUCUAUCCGCAAGCGCACAGAUAAAACACCUCAUUGUAGCAUUUCACCAGGAUAAGUAUUCCAGGUAUCGUUAUUUAUAAUUUUGCUUAGGGGAUCUAAAGAAGAUGGAAUUAAAUCAAGGGACAAAAUCUAUCAAGGCAUAGACUAGAGAUAAACUUGCAAGAACAUGAUUACUAAUGAGAAACUCGUCACACAGUCACAUACUUUAGCAGGGGGUAAACCAUAAAGAUAAUGAUAAUAAAGUAUAAGUUCAUGGGAUAAAGAGCACAGCGAUUAGAAAAUAGACUACUCCUCAUAUAUGUAGGUGAUGUCGGAUUAGCUAGAGAAUGAAUUCUAGGUUAUCUACUAACUACUAAGUCAUAAUCUACUCUAGUUAUCUACAAGAUCAUAUAUAGCAUAAAAGACUCUUCAUUCAUGUAUAAGGAACAUUGAUAAAGUAAAUCAGAACAUCGCAUGACUUACUCCACAAUACCGGUUCUGCCUAUCCUAUCAACGGAGGGUGGACUAUAUAAGAAUCAACAAAGCUGUCACUAUCGCGACCUACCACACGACUCGGCCAAUAGGAUACAUUUGCAGAUAAAUAACAUCUAAGCACCACGCUCACAUGUAAUCUAUCACCUAACUCCCUCGCGUCAAGAGCUAAGCGCUUUGCAAACUUAUACAUAAACUCAUUAUCAAUUAGAACUAUAUCAAAUAUAGAACUAGAGCAAACUAAGAACAUAAUAAUUAGAGACAUAAUGCAAUU